GAUGAACGCUGGCGGCGUGCCUAAUACAUGCAAGUCGAGCGAACGGACGAGAAGCUUGCUUCUCUGAUGUUAGCGGCGGACGGGUGAGUAACACGUGGAUAACCUACCUAUAAGACUGGGAUAACUUCGGGAAACCGUAGCUAAUACCGGAUAAUAUUUUGAACCGCAUGGUUCAAAAGUGAAAGACGGUCUUGCUGUCACUUAUAGAUGGAUCAGCGCUGCAUUAGCUAGUUGGUAAGGUAACGGCUUACCAAGGCAACGAUGCAUAGCCGACCUGAGAGGGUGAUCGGCCACACUGGAACUGAGACACGGUCCAGACUCCUACGGGAGGCAGCAGUAGGGAAUCUUCCGCAAUGGGCGAAAGCCUGACGGAGCAACGCCGCGUGAGUGAUGAAGGUCCUCGGAUCGUAAAACUCUGUUAUUAGGGAAGAACAUAUGUGUAAGUAACUGUGCACAUCUUGACGGUACCUAAUCAGAAAGCCACGGCUAACUACGUG
rnacentral:rRNA from 1 species